UGGUUGCACCGGAAAAGAAGAGAUUCUCUUCCCUCACUGGGUUUCGCCAUUGCCCGGGGCCCCAAGAAGCACUUGAAGCCUGUUGCAGCUCAGAAGCAUUUGGAUGCUUGACAAACUAACGGGUGUAUCUGCACCUUGUCCAUUGACAGGUCCCCACAAGCUGAGGGAAUGUCUUCCCCUGAUUAUCUUCCUCAGGAAUAGACUCAAGUACACAUUGACUGGAGAUGAGAUAUGUAUGCAACGCUUCAUCAAAAUUGAUGGUAGGGUUCGAGCGGACAGCACAUACCCUGCUGGAUUCAUGGAUGUCAUCAGCAUCAAGAACACAGGUAAACAUUUCUGCCUGGUCUAUGGCACCAAGGGCCGUUUUGCCGUUCACCACAUCACAGUGGAAGAGGCAAAGUAAAAGUUGUGCAAAGUGAGGAAGAUCACUGUGGGGAUGAAGGGAAUCCCACACCUGGUGACUCAUGAUGCUACCCAAAUCCGCUUAUCAAGAUGAAUGAAACUGUGCAGACUGAUUUAGGGACUGGCAAGAUAAUCAACUUGAUCAAAUUCGACAUGGGCAAUGUGUGUAUGGUGAUUGGUGGAGCCAGCCUCAGUCGUCUUGGUGUGACCAACAGGGAAAGACAUCCUGGUUCUUUUGAUGUGGUGCAUGUGAAGGAUGACAAUGGCAACAGCUUUGCCACAAGGGUUUCUGACAGUUUUGUCACUGGCAAUGGCAAUAAGCCUUGGAUUUCUCUCCUUAGGUGAAAGGGCAUACGACUUAAAACUAUUGCGGAAGAGAAAGACAAGAGACUGGCCACCAAACAGAGCAGUAGCUAAAUUAUAGUAGCAGCUAUCUUUUUUCUUUGCACAAAUAAACAGUGAAUUCUCGUU